AAGACGCAACAUUUUUUUUACACAUUUCCCCAAAAUUCACCCUGAAAAAUUUGGCGUUUUGGGAAACUUUGUCGUCUUUGCUAUAGAGAAGUGAAGUCCGGUGGACCACCAUGGGACCUUAUUUCAGAAAAAAUAUGAACGCUACGAUGCCUGUGUGUUUCGUACUGGGAUGUACUCACAGGAGCAACAGGUCUCGGUCGUUCUUUCACUUCCCAGCUGAUAAAAAAGACCAGGAAUCGCUGGAUGAAACACAUCAGGUAAGAUAACGUUACAUUAGUGCGUGGAACAUAGCUAAUUAAGCUGGCUAGCUAGUGUUGGUGACGUAUGCUGUGACGAGAGACGUUGUUCACUGAGCGGUUUCACACGAAACUAAAUUAUACUACAACAAACUGUUACUUUCUUGACUUGCAAAAUUAUAUUUCAAAUUGAUAAACAUCAUUUGUGUGAUUCAUGGCGCAAUUCAAACGGGAUCAAAACAAUAUUUGCCUCUCGACGUUGACUACCGUCAACGAAAUAAGGUCCCAUGGGGUCCAACAGAGGGGGAGGGACUUCGCCCCUCUAUAACUUAAAAAAACA